rnacentral:tRNA from 1 species
GCCCUCUUAGCUCAGUGGUAGAGCACCUCCAUGGUAAGGAGGGGGUCGCCAGUUCAAGCCUGGCAGAGGGCU